rnacentral:rRNA from 1 species
UACGAAGGGGGCUAGCGUUGCUCGGAAUCACUGGGUUUAAAGGGUGCGUAGGUGGGCUAGUAAGUCAGGGGUGAAAUCUCCGGGCUUAACCCGGAAACUGCCAUUGAUACUAUUAGUCUUGAAUACCAUGGAGGUGAGCGGAAUAUGUCAUGUAGCGGUGAAAUGCUUAGAUAUGACAUAGAACACCAAUUGCGAAGGCAGCUCGCUACGCGGUUAUUGACACUGAGGCACGAAAGCGUGGGGAUCAAACAGG